CUUUGUGUUUAGGGGUGGAUGUAACAGGUGUGUUUAAAUGUUUGUCUAUUUCACCAAAUAUCCAUCCUUUUGAUCUUGUGUACAUUUUGUUUUUAUUUUGUUUGUGUGUGUACGCAAUUCAGUGUAUUUUUGUAAUUUA